UGUAUUAAAUUUAUCCCAUGAUUAAACAAUUCCCAUUAAAUGAUGACAUAAUACACCAAGUUACUGAGAAUCAUGAUUGAUUUGUUUAACAUGCAUCACCAACUGAGGCAUUUUAAUUUAGUAUAUUAUAAAUUUGGGAAACUUCAGUAGAUAAAUCUUAUUUUUCGUUUACAGACCUGAAAAUUUCCGAUUCGCCUGUUGGACUUUCAAAAUAAAUUUGCAAUCGUCUUUUAAGGUUCUCGAGGUCCGUUGAUGAAAAAUUGCUUUGGAUGUGAAAAGAUUGUUUCAAGAAAAAAUAUCUAAUUAUUUUUAUUUAAAUAAAUGUUUGUUGAGAA